AUAAGGAGGGCUGAGGAGGCAUAAGGAGGGCUAAGGAGGGCUAAGGAGGGCUAAGGAGGCCUACAAAGGCCUAAGGAGGGCUAAGGAGGCCUAAGGAGAUUUAAGGAGGCCUAAGGAGGGCUAAGGAGGCCUAAGGCGGGCUAAGGAGGCCUAAGGAACGCUAAGGAGGCCUAAGGAGGGCUAAGGAGGCCUAAAAGAUGCCUAAGGAGGCCUAAGGAGGGCUAAGGAGGUCGAAGGAGGGCUAAGAAGGGCUAAAGAGGCAUAAGGAGGCAUAAGGAGGGCUAAGGAGGCCCAAGGAGCCCUAAGGAGACCUAAGGAGGCUUAAUGAGGCCUAAGGAGACCUAAGGAGGCAUAAGGAGGGCUAAGGAGGCAUAAGAAGAGCUAAGGAGGCAUAAGGAGGGCUAAGGAGGCAUAAGAAGAGCUAAGGAGGCAUAAGGAGGGCUAAGGAGGCCCAAGGAUGCCUAAAGAGGCAAGGAGGCUUAAGGAGGCCUAAGGAGACCUAAGGAGGGCUAAGGAGGCCUAAGAAGGCCUAAGGAGGGCUAAGGAAGGCUAAGGAGGUCUAAGGAGGGCUACGGAGGCAUAAGGAAACCUAAGCAGGGCUAAGGAGGCCUAAGGAGGGCUAAGGAGGGCUAAGGAGGUCUUAGGAGGGCUAUGGAGGCCUAAGGACGGCUAAGGAGGGAUGAGGAGGCAUAAGGAUGGCUAAGGAGGCCUAAAAAGGCCUAAGGAGGCCUAAGGAGUCCUAAGGACGACUAAGGAGGGCUAAAGAGGCAUAAGGAGGGCUAAGGAGGCCUAAGG